GAUGAAGAACGUAGCGAAAUGCGAUACUUGGUGUGAAUUGCAGAAUCGCGUGAACCAUCGAGUCUUUGAACGCAAGUUGCGCCCGAAGCCAUUAGGCCGAGGGCACGCCUGCCUGGGCGUCACACGUCGUUGCCCCCCCAUCUACUCCUUCGGGAUUGCGGGGGGCGGAUGAUGGCCUCCCGUGCGCCUCGUCGCGCGGUUGGCAUAAAUGCCAAGUCCUCGGCGACGCACGCCACGACAAUCGGUGGUUGCGAAACCUCGGUUGCCCGUCGUGUGCGGUCGUCGCGCAUCGAGGGCUCGAAAAAAUUGCCGGGUUCCGGCUCGGCUUUCAACGCGACCCCAGGUCAGGCGGGGUUACCCGCUGAAUUUAAGCAUAUCAAUAAGCGGAGGA
rnacentral:misc_RNA from 1 species